rnacentral:miRNA from 1 species
AAGUUCAGCAUACACACACACACACACACACACAUAUAUAUAUAUAUACACAUAUACUGUGUGUGUGUGUGUGUAUGUGUGUGUGUGUGUGUAU